rnacentral:rRNA from 1 species
AUUGAACGCUGGCGGCAGACCUAACACAUGCAAGUCGAGCGGAUGAAGGGAGCUUGCUCCUGGAUUCAGCGGCGGACGGGUGAGUAAUGCCUAGGAAUCUGCCUGGUAGUGGGGGAUAACGUCCGGAAACGGGCGCUAAUACCGCAUACGUCCUGAGGGAGAAAGUGGGGGAUCUUCGGACCUCACGCUAUCAGAUGAGCCUAGGUCGGAUUAGCUAGUUGGUGGGGUAAAGGCCUACCAAGGCGACGAUCCGUAACUGGUCUGAGAGGAUGAUCAGUCACACUGGAACUGAGACACGGUCCAGACUCCUACGGGAGGCAGCAGUGGGGAAUAUUGGACAAUGGGCGAAAGCCUGAUCCAGCCAUGCCGCGUGUGUGAAGAAGGUCUUCGGAUUGUAAAGCACUUUAAGUUGGGAGGAAGGGCAGUAAGUUAAUACCUUGCUGUUUUGACGUUACCAACAGAAUAAGCACCGGCUAACUUCGUG